CCUGCGGAAUACUGUGAACCUGUAGCUGGAUAUAUUUUUCAACUCAUGGACCACAGCUUUAUAUGCACACAUGUGUUUACGGGUUUUAAUUUUAGAUUUUCUGAGCUGUUUUGUGAAUGUCGAUCAUCGUUUUUCUUGUAUAUGACAGAGAGGCAGCCAAGAAUGAACAGAGAGGAAGCAUUUUGACAGAAAGGCCACCGAUAUGCAUCUACACCAUGUUUUCAGUCAAAGGCUUUAUUUUUUGUUUAUCUGUUUGCUUGUUCAUAAAAAAAUUCACGAAAAGAAACUGAAAUGUAUUUAAAUGCAAUGAUUGGGAGUUUAACAAACUCAUCGCUUUACACACGUGGCAGUCGUUUCGUUGUCCAAAACGAGUUCUUUUGUAACAUGUGCUUUAUAGCAGUAUUUAAAGACCCAGUUCCGUCAUUCAAAUUUGGUAUCAGCUGUAUCUUGCACUAACUCCUGUAACUCAGCAAACAAGUCUUUUUGAGGAAAUAACCACUCAGGAGAGAAUACCGAUGCGCUCGAAAACCGAUCUUUGCACAAAAUCCGUUGAGUUUGAAUAAACAUACUUGGAUAAAGGAAAUGGCUGAUUUAACAAUGCCUUUGCAAACGGUACGUACCUGCAUGUUUUCAGUGUGUGGGUAUACCGGUAGUCACCGAGGUAUCUAAAAAUCAACGGGGAACAAAAUAUGGGGCGGUAGUGGCUGCAGUAGAUAUUGACAACAACGGGACCCAUGAGCUGCUUAUCGGAGCCCCGUUGUACACGAGCAAAUAUGCAGAUGAGGGACGAGUCUACAUCUAUACAUCAGGCGACAAUCAUCAAGAAAUGUGCGGACCGGUAGGGAUUCUUUCGGGUGGGGCCAAGGAAGGCUUUGGUUAUGGCGUUGCAAGAUUCGGCUCUGCAAUUGCAUCAAUUGGCGACAUUGACAGAGACAACUAUACCGACUUUGCAGUCGGUGCCCCUUACGAAGAAGAUGGUAGAGGGGCUGUGUACAUUUACAUGGGCAUUUCCAAUUUCAAACUUCGGACAUCAGGAUAUCCGGACAUGUAUUCCCAAAGACUUCCUGGAAAGAUGUUCGACUCUGGUAUUCGUGGCUUUGGAUGGAGUAUUUAUGGAGAUCACGACAUCGAUGAGAAUUCCUUCCCAGAUUUUGCGGUCGGAGCUUACAGUUCAGAUACUGUUGCAAUAUUCCGCUCGAGACCGAUUGUUCAUCUGAAAGUUAAUAUCUCCAUCUCACCGUCUCCAAUACCGCUCAAUGCAUCUUUGCUUCGUUGUUCGAUGGACAAAUCCAGACUUUGUACAGAAGUCAAUGUAACAUUUUCUUACGAGAAUAUUGGAACUGGGAAAGGGACCUUCAACGAUUUACUGAUAUCAUGGUAUCUUGAAGCCGAUACAUACUUGAGAAAUAGCAGUGGCUAUAGUCGCUUCAUAUUCCGAAAUACAAGCAGGGAUUUUCUGGAGCAGAACAUUACGUUGUCCGGAGCUGGCAUGCAUGUUCAUAGAUCGUACAUCCUGGAUGUUAUCGGAAAUAACAACAACCCCGAACCGAAGGACGCUUGGACGAAAGUCAUGAUCGAAGGAACAUACAAACUUCUGCCUCAAGUAGGGACAGACUUUAGUCUGCUUGACCCGAUUUUGCGGAAUGAUACAAAAAUUGUUGCCAAGGUGGAGUUCGACAAGAAAUGUGAGACGCUUGACCAAUGCAAAUCCGAUCUGGUACUCAGUGUCGAGAUGGACCUCAUUGGCGAUGGACCCGACGUUAAAAUUAACCGUUCCUCGGUCAUUUUAGUAGGGGAAAGAGACACUUUGGCGGUCACUAUAGAUGUCAAGAACGUUCAAGACAUAUCAUACAAUGCUAAUUUUACGAGCACAGUUACAGCUUAUAAGAGAGGUGUCACUAAUACCAAUCAAGGGUCGGUAUCGGCCGAAUGCGAGUAUCCACUUCUGGACUUUUCUUGGACUGAUUUCAAAUGCACAGCCAACAAUAAACUCGACCGAAACGAGAACUUUAAGGUUUUCACGAGUUUCGACAUCUCCAAGGGGAAGCUCAUUCCGGAGAAUGACAUGAACAAAAUGCUCACUUUACUGACGGUGGAUGUAGUAGCGGCUCAGGAAAAUUUAGACGUUAACACGGAUAACAACAAAUUCAACAUAAAAAUCGAAAUCAGAUUGAAAUACGAUAUCUACAUUCAAGCAGAUCAGCAACUGUCAGAUCAGGAGCGAUACAAAGCCGUCGAGAACAGUGACGUCAGAAAGACGAUCACCCAUCAGUAUUACAUCACGAAUUACGGUCCAAGCUACCUGCCAAAGACCUACGUCAACAUCACAGUGCCCGUUAAAAAGGGCAACAACGAGAUAGCGAAGAUAACCAAAAUGUCACCGACAUGUAACGUUCAAGGAAACGAAGCACUCAUUGGUACAACUCUGGCUCCAACAACGUCGAUUACAACUCCAUUCGCAAAUACGCCCGGCAACCCAGAUCCCCACAGGAGAAGACGAGCAGUGGAUGAACCCGUAGCAAUGUCAUCGACUGGUCAGAAACAAACUAUGAAGAAUAUUACGUGUUUGGAGUACGAAUGCAUCAUUUUGGAGUGUCUGGUGAUGAAUUUGGAUAAAAACGGUCAGACGAUUGUCAAUGUUACGAUUGAAGUAUUCGAAAAAGCGCUGGCAGCGGAAAAGGAUUUCAGCGAGAUUCGGUACACAACAAAUGCGACUGUUACAGACCCGGAAGUGUGGUAUGGUGGAAAGGUCGUACCAAUGGAAAACACCGUAUACGCUACGAAAUGGACCACCUUUGUCAUUGAUGCCGAGUCGGUUAAGAACGAAGUAAACAUAUGGAUCAUCAUUGGUGCAGUAUUAGGAGCUGUUGUGCUUUUAAUCAUCGUUGGAAUCAUACUAUGGAGGUGUGGAUUCUUCAAGAGAAGCCAAAAGCACGACCAAGUCAAGAAAUGGAAGCAAGAUAGCCUCUACAAUCGCAAGAGCAUUCGCAUGUCCCAGGCGAAUAAGCAGAGCUACUCUCCUAUAGAGGAAACAACUGCCAAUAAUGGAUCAGAGAAGAAAACAGAAUAAUAAAUAAGAGUUAUUUUAUAGAGGAAACAACUGCUAAUGAAUCAGAGAAGCAAACAGAAUAAUGUCGCAGAGUUAUUUUUGUUGCUUGUCCCAGUUAAGUGUCAUUUUAGUAAAAGAUAUUUAGCAAAAAGAGGGUUUGACAUUUAUUAACGAAAGCAUUUUUAAAUCCUUAAGGGAAAACAACUGCCAAUGAAUCAGAGAAGAAAACAGAACAAUGUUGUAGAUCUAUUUUUGGAGCAUAAUUAGUUUUGUGUCGUUGGCUUCAUGGACAUUUUGGUAUGAUAGAGCAUUUUAUAGUUUUGUGUCAUAUACACUUUGGUAUAAGAAUGUUUGCUAUUUAGUGACGAAUGUGCUUUGAAUUUAAAUAAGUCUUCCAUGAUUAGAUCUGAGUAAGUUGAUGCAAUUGUAUGAAGUUAUUCUUUUUGCAUCUUCUGACACUGCUUUAGUAUAUUUACAGGUAACAUAAUUGUAUGCACAUUCUUGUUAUUAUGAUAUUUUGCACUUGUAGCACGCCUAUUGUUUUAGAUAAUCUUACUCAAUUUUCUUUUGUAAUUAUCUUUCUUAUUUGAUUUCGUUGUUUAAUAUUGCUUUUGAUACGGGCUGUUUUAUACAACAGUGUUUGCUAUUUGCAAUAUAUAAUUGUAAAUAUUUUGUGAUAAGUCAGAUUUAUUCUCUUGUCUUCAUCUUGUGGGUGCAAAACAUAAAAUGUGACCACGAGUUCCUUAAACAUAUUUGGAAUUGCUUUUGGUAUAUUUUUUUAUUAAGUUUACGUGCUUUCGAGCUAAAUAAGACAUUCAACUAUAAAAAAUGUACCGUAAACAAGCGGCGGGUUGUCAUUUGGUUAAAAACACAAUUCGGUCGAGGCGUUUAAUGCAUUAUUUUUGCAAGACUUAACUGUGCUAGGACGCGACAAAAAAUAAACUUCGUUAAUUUCGUUGCCGAAUGGUUGUACAAAAUUUGCACGAAGCUAAAAAAUUGCAUCAUUAAGCAAAGUUGCUUUUCUUAAAAGAGAACGCGCAUUAUCUUAUUUUUUUUACAUUUCUAGACAAAUAUGUAUUCGCACUUACAGUAAACUUUUGUUACGACGCUUGUAUGAAAACUUUCGUUUGAGGGCAGAUUCUCUCAAACGAAAAUCAGGUCAUGGCGGCGGAAAGUGUGGUCCCUGAAUACCCUGCUCGGACUGCACAGGGUAAUCUGGUUCGACACUUUAUGUAAAUGCAUAUAGCCCGGUAUUCCCAGAGUGCGGCAGUCAUAUAUGUGUUGGGUAUAAGUAUGCUUUACUUAUCUUGUACACAGAGAGACAAAUAUAAUUGGGGAAAUGGGUGUUAAUACCAUUAAUAAUUGAUUAUUAAUAGCAUGUGUUUUGCUCCAAAUUGCUUGCUAUCAUAGUCUUCAAUCAGAGCAGUGUACGCAAUUAUAUUUUGAAAUGUCCAUGUUUAUGCACAUUCCGUACGGUAAUUUGGAAACCCUUUGAAUGUGACUGAUAUUUGUGUAUAUAAUGGACGUUCGGUUGGGUCAAAAAAUGUGUAUGAGCCAGUUGCCGGUUGAGUGUAUAAAAUGAAUCGUGUAAUUUGUAACCACGAACAUAAGUAUAUAGUUGUACAAAUUUGACUGUGAAGCAAGCUGUAUAAUUAGCUGUGUUUUGAACAUAUUUUUUUUCCGUUCAAUUUUAUUUUAUAUUCCUCGUCAAUAGGUGUGUGUGGUCGAAGGCAUCCCACUCUACAACGCACAUAGUUUAAAAGCACUAUAAGCAAUUAUAACACAUUAUAUACAAUCACAUCAAAGCAUUUACAUUACAAUAUGAACAUAAUUUUAAAAUGGUUGAAAUUUGGGUUCAGUGUUGGUCACUCCUCGAAUGAGCUGUGCAUGUUACAUUAGAUCGAUAAGACAAAAUUGUAAUUGAAGUUCGUAUAUGUCGACUAAAACGUGUACGUCUCCAAACACUUGGUAUACAUGGUUAUACGAAUAAGGUGAACACUUUUAAAUCGACAGUUACAGUUGAUUUGGUGAAAUAAUGUACAUUGAACAUAACAACGGUUUUCGUGUCUAUAAAUGAAACCGUCUUUUCAUUGAGCAAAAACGUUCAGUGAGACUAGUAUUAUGUGUUUUUUGUUGUCAAGGUAUUGUUUUGUAAAUACACUGUUUGUUAGCCUAAUUUUUAGCAUGGUUAUUGAUCUGCAAUGUUAAUGUUUGUGCAAUUCGUCACAUGUUAUAUUUAUAUCCUUUCCAGUUUAUCAGCAUUUCAGUAUAUGAAUGCCCAAAUACUGAAGCAUUCUAAUUGAACAAAACUUUACGAACAAGAAGCAAAUAACAUAAAAUAAAUUUAAGCUGACUGUAAUUAAAAAUGUAUUAUGUGAUAUGUUUUUUUUUCUAUGUAUUAUUAUGUAAAGACACUGUUUGUUAACCUUAUUUUUAGCAUGGUUAUUGUUCUUUCUGUUACUGAUUGUGCAAUUUGUAAUAAGCCAUUAAUCAUUUUCAGUUUAUCAGCUUUUUAGCAUUUGUAUGCCCGCAAUAAUGAAGAUAAUGAUAACAAAUUUGCAUGUAUUGUGUAUAAGAUUAUUUUCAAGUCAUUUUUAGGCUAAUACAAAGUCAUAGAUUUUGACAAAUCCUAAUUUAAAUAUGGACAGAACAUAACGAACAAGUAACAAAUAACAUAAAAUCAAUAUAACCUGCCUGCUAUUUAAUCAUUAUUAUGUGUUAUGUGUUAAGUAUUAUUAUGUAGAGGCACUGUUUGUUAACUUAAUUUUUGCAUAUCUAGUGUUAUGCUCUUGUACUGUUUGUGCAAUUAGCCACAUGUCAUAUUUAUAUCAUUUUCAGUGUAUCGGCUUUUCAAUAUAUAAUAAUGAAGGAAUACUUAUAAUAAAAAAUACUAGACUCA